CCUCCAUGUGACCGGAGCCGUCAUACCGGGCUGAGUAGAUAGCGUCCGACCUGAGGGUGUGAUCAAGCGAGCAGUGAGGACCUCAGAGAGACACAGGCAGCAUCUUCCCCACCCCGACAGGGAGCACCUUCCCCGAGCUCCACCAGGCUUGCAGAUGGCAUCCGGAGCUUUGGUGUGAGUUGCAGGAAGGCAGAGCCCUCAGCAGAGCGGAAGGUGAGUAACUACAGGUCACACCCUGCUUUUCUUCUCUUCAGUCCUCCCACCCCUCGCCCCGAACCCCCCCCACGGUGUUGGCUUCACCUCUGUUCCUGCUGGCCCCAGGCCCCUGCCCGGGUGCUGCUGCCUCAACCCUGGGUGGUAGAGAGUGCUGACCUGGCAUCAAUCCAGAGGAUGCGCUUCUCCAGGUAGUCCACGGUGAGCCCGUUGGGCCAGCCCCCAGAGCCUGUCUCUCGGUGGAUGGUACGGCGCCCAGCGCCGCUCAUGGAUGCUGCCUCAAUUCGAGGCAGGCUGGCAUCCCAGUCUGUCCAAAA